rnacentral:miRNA from 1 species
GGCUGCAACACAGGACAU